CGUUGAUUAUGACUUAGCUGCUUAAGCAGUCUCAGUCACAGUCGUCCUAACUGGUAACGGUUAGUGAUUAUUAUCGGGUGAAUUGCUGGAAACCCCUUAGAGCUUGUCUUACUACAACGCAGCUGGAAACGGCAAACGUGAAGGUUUGAAAAAAGACGAGAUUGGGCAAUCAGCAGCCGAGCUCCUGGGAGGAAACUCUGGAGAAGGUUCAACGACUAGAAUAAACCACCUAAUGUAUAAGCGAUGGUGAUGAAAUUCGUAGGUGAAUGAUAGAGCCGCUAAUUCUAUCAGAAUCCGAAGUUCCCGACCCUUCCUAGGUAACUGGAAGGUGAAGAUAUAGUCUAGUCAUUUAUGAAAGUAAAUG
rfam:Oceanobacillus oncorhynchi strain Oc5 genome assembly, contig: CONTIG000001